CAUGGUCUUUCAUUUCCCAUUUCUUCUUUGGCAUAUUUUGGGUCUCUGGAAGUGGGUUAGGGGCAGCCAUGGAGGGAAGCAUGCGAUGCUCUGCCAACUACGUCCCCCUCCCCCACUUAGCUUUCUCGAGUGCGCCGCCAUUGUUUACCCUGACCGGAUGGCUAUCGUCUGUAGCUCCAUCGCAUAUACUUGGAGCCAAACCCGUGAACGCUGCCUCCGCCUCGCCCCUGCGCUCACCAACUUGGGAUCUCUCGAGGCGACAUCCAAACUCAUAUAGAAGCAGUGCUUUUCGGUCACCCGGCGGUGCUCGAGGCGGCGGUGGUAGGGAGGCCAGACCAGCAGUUGGGUGAGACUCCCUGUGCCUUUGUGAAGCUGAAGGAGGGUGCUAGUGUUACUGCAGAUGAUAUCAUAGAACUCUGCUGCAGUAGGUUGCCUCAUUAUAUGGCUCCCAAGACUGUUGUGUUUGAGGAUCUUCCAAAGACUUCAACAGGAAAGACACAGAAGUACAUUCUCAGGGAGAAGGCUAAGGCCAUGGGAAGUCUUUUUAAGAAGGAUUGAAGCGAAGUUUGAGAUCCAAUGGAACAUAUGGUAAUCUUUGUUAGGGUUUGUGGUUUUUUGUUUGGCCAAUUCUUGCCAUUGGAGCUAUAUGAUGAUUUCUGCGUAAUGUCAUCAAUAAACAGUACUCAGUACAAGGGCCAGGUUGAUUCAUUUGUGUCGUGUAAACUGAAUUCUGGAUAUCAGAAUCAUUCCUGAAUUACUUAAUGCAACAGUCUCUCUUGAGACUGAAAAGCUUCAUCCUUU